rnacentral:misc_RNA from 1 species
GAUGAAGAACGUAGUGAAAUGCGAUAAGUAAUGUGAAUUGCAGAAUUCAGUGAAUCAUCGAAUCUUUGAACGCACAUUGCGCCCGCCAGUAUUCUGGCAGGCAUGCCUGUUCGAGCGUCAUUUCAACCAUCAAGCCCCCGGCUUGUGUUGGGGACCUGCGGCUGCCGCAGGCCCUGAAAAGCAGUGGCGGGCUCGCUGUCACACCGAGCGUAGUAGCAUACAUCUCGCUCUGGGCGUGCUGCGGGUUCCGGCCGUUAAACCACCUUCAUAACCCAAGGUUGACCUCGGAUCAGGUAGGAAGACCCGCUGAACUUAAGCAUAUCAAUAAGCGGAGGA